AAAAAAAAAAGAAGAACUAAUUAACAGGAUCAGCUUGUAAUUGCUCGUAGUUGUGUUUACGGAACUACGUUGCAAUUUGCUCGUAACAAAGCAAAAUUUCGACAGAUUCAGAUAUUCUUCAGAUCAGAUUGCAAGUUCACAAAUCUCCAGUUUUCAUUGACCGAAGAUUUCUGUAAGCGUCUUAUAAGUUUCUCGAGUAGAGUUAAGUAUACUUUUAAAGUCUGAAAAGAAAGAGAAAUGCAGUUCUUAUAUAUGUAUGUGAGUUAACGUGCAUUUGAGCAACAGGGGCAACAAAAACCUUAAUCCGUUCCUGAAUGGAGCAGAACACACGAACACGGACAGCAAAGAGAUAUCACUUUCCCGGCUUUCUUGGUGCCACGCCCGUUACACACCAUACUUUUAUGCGAACUUGAACGAAACGCGUGUUUCUCGCAACGCAUACUAAUCGGCGAACGAAAAGAAAAAUAGCAAACUGAAUUUAGAACGACGAUAGUUUUAAAUUCUCACAAAUAACACGAGAUCACGAACAAUGAGGCAGGAUCGCCAUUAAGGAGAAAUCGGAGAAAUCAGUCACGAAACAAAUAAAAAAAAAAAGAAACAUUUCAAAUGGAAAGUAACUUAAACUCGGCAAGAUGGAACGAGAACAGUAGUUAAAAUGAAAUAACGUUUAAUUGAAGAUGUUGCAGUAAUGACGAUACGUCAUUGUAAGUAUGUGAAUAUAUACUGUUCCCGGUUGUAAAAGAUUACGAUCGAGACACAAAUAUUGCACAAUUAUUGUCGAAAUAGAACGAGGAAGUUUGAUUGCGUCGUCGAGUCAAUUCGCACGCGCCAUAAAUUCCCUGAGAAACGAUCCUUUUGCACACGUUCGUGAAUUCAAAAGGCACGU